rnacentral:rRNA from 1 species
CAGGUGCAUGCCUCUAGCAUGAAGUCAGACAAGUAGCA